rnacentral:rRNA from 1 species
AUAGGAUGCAACCGCAUUAUUAUUAAUUCGGAUAAUAUGGAGGUGAUCGACACCAUGAAGGAAGGAGGACGAUCGUCGGUGGCAGUGGCGGCAAUUUUUAUGAUUAUUUUUUUAGCUUGUGAUUUUCCUAUUUCUAGAUUUGAGCACUCUAAUAGAGAUGCAAAAAUUGCUCGUGAACUUGCCAAAUUGGCUAGAUUUUUGUUCAUUGAUGAACGGUUUGAGGAGCCAAAUAAUGAAACUAUACCAAUUCUCGUAAAUGAUGUAAUGGUUAUUUCUGAUGAAUAA